GAACGUCGUGAGACAGUUCGGUCCCUAUCUAUCGUGGGCGCAGGAAAUUUGAGGGGUGCUGUCCCUAGUACGAGAGGACCGGGAUGGACAAACCAAUGGUGCACCAGUUGUCACGCCAGUGGCACGGCUGGAUAGCUAAGUUUGGACGGGAUAAACGCUGAAAGCAUCUAAGUGUGAAACCCGCCCCAAGAUGAGAUUUCCCACAGCAAUGGUAAGACCCCAAGUAGACUACUUGGUUGAUAGGCCGGAAGUGUAAGCACAGCAAUGUGUUCAGCCAACCGGUACUAAUCGGUCGAGGACUUGACCACAA
rnacentral:rRNA from 1 species